rnacentral:tRNA from 1 species
GCGGUCGUAGUCCAGCUUGGUUAGGACAUCAGGUUCCCAACCUGACGACCCGGGUUCAAAUCCCGGCGACCGCACCA